AUUGAACGCUGGCGGCGUGCCUAACACAUGCAAGUCGAGCGGCAGCGCGGGAGCAAUCCUGGCGGCGAGCGGCGGACGGGUGAGUAACGCUUGGGAAUCUGCCUGUUAGUGGGGGACAACCCGGGGAAACUCGGGCUAAUACCGCAUACGCACUACGGUGGAAAGCCGGGGACCGCAAGGCCUGGCGCUAACAGAUGAGCCCAAGUCGGAUUAGCUAGUUGGUAGGGUAACGGCCUACCAAGGCGACGAUCCGUAACUGGUCUGAGAGGACGACCAGUCACACCGGAACUGAGACACGGUCCGGACUCCUACGGGAGGCAGCAGUGGGGAAUAUUGGACAAUGGGGGAAACCCUGAUCCAGCGACGCCGCGUGGGUGAAGAAGGCCUGCGGGUUGUAAAGCCCUUUCAGUGGGGGAAGAAAAGCCUCGACCUAACACGUCGGGGUCUUGACGUAACCCAUAGAAGAAGCACCGGCUAACUCUGUGCCAGCCGCCGCCGUAAU
rnacentral:rRNA from 1 species